rnacentral:rRNA from 1 species
GACGAACGCUGGCGGCGUGCUUAACACAUGCAAGUCGAGCGGUAAGGCUCCUUCGGGAUUCCCCGAGCGGCGACCGGGUGCGUAACACGUGAGUAAUCUGCCCUUCCCUUCUUGAUAUCCACCGUAAACGGUGGCUAAUUCCGAAUACGACCAGUCUUCGCAUUCGGUGCUGGUGGAAAGUCUUUUCGGUGUAGGAUGUGCUCGCGGCCUAUCAGCUUUUUGGUGGGGUAAUGGCCUACCAAGGCUUCGACGGGUAGCCGGGCUCAGGGGCUAGCCGGCCAAAAUGGGAACGAGACAAGGCCCAGAGGCCGAAGGGAGGAAGAAGUGGGGAAGAGUGGAAAAUGGGCGAAAGCCUGAUCCAGCAACGACGCGGGAGGGAUGACGGCAUUGGGGUUGUAAACCGAUUGAAGUACAGACGAAGAGUACUGGCGGGUGGUGACGGUAGGUACAGAAGAAGGACCGGCCAACUACGUG